rnacentral:rRNA from 1 species
AAUAGAUACCCGGGUAGUCCUAGCCGUAAACGAUGAACACUAGGCGUAGUCGGUAUCGACCCCGGCUGUGCCGUAGCUAACGCAUUAAGUGUUCCGCCUGGGGAGUACGGCCGCAAGGCUAAAACUCAAAGGAAUUGACGGGGGCCCGCACAAGCAGCGGAGCGUGUGGUUUAAUUCGUCGCAACGCGAAGAACCUUACCAGGGCUUGACAUGUGGCGGAAAACGGCGGAAACGUCGUCCUCCCGCAAGGGACCGUCAUGCAGGUGUUGCAUGGCUGUCGUCAGCUCGUGUCGCGAGAUGUUGGGUUAAGUCCCGCAACGAGCGCAACCCCCGUGGCAUGUUGUAUCUCUCAUGCCAGACUGCCGAGAGAAACUCGGAGGAAGGUGGGGAUGACGCCAAGUCAGCAUGGCCCUUACGUCCUGGGCUACCACACACGCUACAAUGGCCGGUACAACGGGUUGCCAAACCGCGAGGUGGAGCUAAUCCCUUAAAGCCGGUCUCAGUUCGGAUUGCAGGCUGCAACUCGCCUGCAUGAAGCCG